rnacentral:rRNA from 1 species
CAGCGCCACGAGUGGGGAUCAUGAUUAUUGGGCUUAAAGCGUCCGUAGCCGGCUUAGCAAGUUUCCUGUUAAACCCAGCGACUCAAUCGUUGGAUCGCGGGAAAUACUACUAGGCUAGGAGGCGGGAGAGGUCAACGGUACUUCUGGGGUAGGGGUGAAAUCCUAUAAUCCCGGGAGGACCACCAGUGGCGAAGGCUGUUGACUAGAACGCGCUCGACGGUGAGGGACGAAAGCUGGGGGAGCGAACCGGAUUAGAUACCCGAGUAGUCC